rnacentral:rRNA from 1 species
CCUACGGGUGGCAGCAGUCGAGAAUCAUUCACAAUGGGGGAAACCCUGAUGGUGCGACGCCGCGUGGGGGAAUGAAGGUCUUCGGAUUGUAAACCCCUGUCAUGUGGGAGCAAAUUAAAAAGAUAGUACCACAAGAGGAAGAGACGGCUAACUCUGUGCCAGCAGCCGCGGUAAUACAGAGUGCUCAAGCGUUGUUCGGAAUCACUGGGCGUAAAGCGUGCGUAGGCUGUUUCGUAAGUUGUGUGUGAAAGGCGCGGGCUCAACCCGCGGACUGCACAUGAUACUGCGAGACUAGAGUGAUGGAGGGGGAACCGGAAUUCUCGGUGUAGCAGUGAAAUGCGUAGAUAUCGAGAGGAACACUCGUGGCGAAGGCGGGUUCCUGGACAUUAACUGACGCUGAGGCACGAAGGCCAGGGGAGCGAAAGGGAUUAGAUACCCUAGUAGUC